GAGAGUAUAGCUCAGUGGUAGAGCACAAGUUUAGGAUGCUUGAGGUCCUGGGUUCAAUUCCCAGUACCUGCA
rfam:Camelus ferus unplaced genomic scaffold scaffold306, whole genome shotgun sequence.